rnacentral:rRNA from 1 species
CCAUGAUUACGAAUUCGAGCUCGGUACCCGGGGAUCCUCUAGAGAUUGGCACGGGGGGGCACAAGCGGUGGAGCAUGUGGUUCAAUUCGACGCAACGCGAAGAACCUUACCCAGGCUUGAACAGCCAGUGACCUCUUCUGAAAAGGAGCUUCCGCAAGGACACUCGUAGAGGUGCUGCAUGGCUGUCGUCAGCUCGUGUCGUGAGAUGUUGGGUUAAGUCCCGCAACGAGCGCAACCCUUGUCUGCUGUUGCCAUCAGGUUAUGCUGGGCACUAUGCAGAGACUGCCGGUGAUAAACCGGAGGAAGGUGGGGAUGACGUCAAGUCAGCAUGGCCUUUAUGUCUGGGGCUACACACGUGCUACAGAGGUCGGUACAAAGAGAAGCGAUAUCGCGAGGUGGAGCAAAUCUCAUAAAGCCGAUCUAAGUCCGGAUUGAAGGCUGAAACUCGC